rnacentral:ncRNA from 2 species
UAUUAUAUGGGAGACGAAGAAGUGCGUUUAGUAUCUGGGCACCUUACAACGCAUGGAGUCAGUGGUGCAACCGCCCCAACGAAGU